CUUGGUUGAUAUAAGGGAUGUGUGUUUGUCAUAUGGCAUGCGUCUUGGUAUCAGCCUUGUGACGUCAUCCGUGGUUGCCGCAGGCUUGGACUGUAAGCUGGCUUCCUCGUCUGCUGUGUGUUGGCUGCCCACGCCACACAGCAUGUCAUUGACAGCAUGGUGUUCAUUACUGAACUGUUGCACUACAAGAUGAUGCGCGACUGCAAAGCGGUUUGUGCGACGGGAUCAUUCUGCGGACUUCCCUGCAUAACUGAGAGCCUUUGGGCUAUUCGCGAGAGCGUACCAAUGAUGAACUGUGAUCGUGUAUAAUUGCGACUGCGUCGCUGUUUUGCCUCGACGUUUAUCCCCAUGGCAACCGUUGUGACUCUACUAUACGUGGCUACUGGGUAUUGUGUCCACUAUUCCUCUGACUGUGCAAACUGGUUGGGCGUUUCAUCUGGCCCCAGUUUGUUCACUUCCACUGGUCUGAAGCACCUCAUAUUUAUGUUUAUUUGGUUUAAUUUAAUGUUAAUGUCAAUGUGUUUUUGUGGUAUUGGGUCUUAUUUAUGUGAUGUGGUUAGACCCUUGGAUUAUUUGACAUGUGUUAUUAUUUUGGAUUGUAUUUUUGUUUUGUGUGUUUUCAAUUUUUGUCUGGUUACAGGAGCUAGGGGGUUUCUGGAGGAUGCAAGCAACGUCGCCAUUUGUGUGGUGUAUUCACACUUAGUGCUGUGUGUCUUCUGACAUUUUAACCCUUCACGUGUGUGUGUGGGUAUUUGUAGUGGAUUAUUUUGGCGAAUAGGUUUCCAAAUUUGGCAGCUGGCCUGGACCUCCAGAUACCUCUGCUCUUGAGAUCUUAAAAUUGAGAAAUGUUUGUGUGUCUUGAGUAGCUUCUUCUUGAUCAUGUGUAAAAUGCCAGUCUAAGUUUUAAAGUGAAAUUUCCAACUAUUUAUAGAAUAUUGACCAAUAAAACUUUCCUACUUUUGCUAUACCUGCCUCAUGUCCUCUCACCCACCCACUCAGAACGAACCUGUGUGCCCUUAGGGCUAUUUCCCUGGGUUUCCAGGGUGGCGUAGUCGAUCAUAUAUUGUCAUCUGGUAACAGUGUGGUAAAUCUUAAUCAAUUCUAGUACCCACUCGGUGCCGUACCGCUACAAACUGGCGUAGUCGGCAGGAUGCUCGAAUUUUGAGUGCAGAGACGUGGGGAUUGUUUUUUUUAUUUUUUGUGUAUGUGGGUAUUGUUUUUUGUUUAUGUCUUGUAGGAUCCAGACAGCGGCAGUUUUCGUGUUGGAAUCCCAGCACAAUUUGUUGCUGGGCUUGCGUGGUUCGAUCGUUUGCGGUAAGUGGUCCUUGGUUCUAGGAACAGAGGACGAAUCACACAGGUUAAUACAUUUAGAGGCUCCGUAGAGGUAAAAUGUGUUAUUGGGUUAAGAACAAGAGGGAGAAUCUGAAUGUAUUAAGUAGAGGGCCAGUUGGGUUUUUAUGGGCAUGUUGUGAACAUUUGGGCACGUCUGGCAUGGCGUAUCAUUAAAGGCACCAUAAAAUUGGUUGUCGUGCUCGUAAUCAUUUUGUAUGAUCUGUACUGUUCUGUUGUGUCUGAAGGUAGGGUAUUACUGAGGUGGUAUUUGCCUGUGACUUCAAUUUUACGAAGGGGUGGGGAGGUACGAAUCGGUCCCAUGUCAUUUGGGGUCCCUCAGAGUCUGGGGUGGAACCAUCUGAUAAGUUUAUUGGUAGGAGAUAUACCCCCCCCCCCCCAGGUUAGUCAUAUUCAGAUGGGGUCCCUCAGAGGUGGAGGUGGAACCAUCUUAUGAGUUUUAUGUUAUAGGAGAUGUACCCCCCCAGGCCAGUCAUUUUCAGAUGGGGUCCCUCAGAGUUUGAGGUGGAACCAUCUGAUGAAUUUUACUAUGCAGGAGACGUAUUCCCCGUAUCAGUCAGUUCUGCGUUGGGGUUGGAGGUGCUAAUCGGUCCCAUGUCAUUCGUUGUCAGAUGAGGUCCCUCCGAGUGAGGUGGAACCAUCCGAUGAGUUUGAUUGGUAGGAGACGUACCCCCCGGUUAGUUAUUUUCAGAUGGGGUCCCUCAGAGUUUAGAGUGAAACCAUCUGCUAGAUUUUAUUGCACUUGAGGAAGCUCUUGUUGUAGUCAUCUGUCAUUGGAGAGUAUGUCAGGUCAGUACUCCAACUGAUACCACUUCCUUUAAUCAGCGGGCACAGCUUUUCUGUCUUGCAGAGUGGAUCGUAAAGGUUGUGCCUUUUUCCGACCUUGGGGCUGAGCACCCUGAGGUGGGUUUUGUUUUGUUCACCGUCGGGGCGACGUUGCAGAAACUUGGGGUGGAUUGUAGCAGGAUUAGGUGAGCUGUGAUUGACAGUUAUCACAACCUAUUAGGGAGUGGCAGUCCCCUUUUAAGCGGCGAUUGGCUGCUGCCCGAAAUGCGUCAUGUCCGGCUUUCCCCCUUGGUGUUUGCAACGAUAGCGACAGAGCGUCUGUCUAUCGUGCUGGUGCCCUCCUGUACUUGAGUGGGUUAAAUGACUGUUUACCCUCAGUUAGCUGUUGUUUACCUGAUGUUGGUAAACCUGUGCUGUAAACUGUAAUGCGUCUGAGGUGAUGCCACUGUUUGGAUUCUCCCUUUUGUUCUACGCCGUGCUUCCUCUAUUGCUGCAGUUUGAUUUUCGCGCUGCUGUGUCGUACCGCUGAAACGACGUCACUAUCUUUACCGUGAUACUUUGGACUGUACACUGUCUGGUUUCUAAGCGUUACUGCAAAAUUCUAUUUCUCAGUGGGGGAUUGUCCAGCACAUUGAAGCUGGCGUAUGGACUUUGUGUUCGCGCCGUAUGAUUUCUUCUGUGUAGCCCAUUUGCCAUUUAUUGGUGUGUGUUGCUUUACUUUCAGGGGCUGGGGGUUUCCACGGGCAAAGGAUCUUGUAAUGGUGGUGGUACAGCGUCAAUGGUUGCCGUGCUACACAUUUUUGCUGUGUACGAGUGUGUGUGCUCUGAAUUCACGGUGUGGUGUGUGAGUGCUUUGUGAUAAUUUGCGCCAGUGAUCACUCCUGUGGGAACCUCAGUCCUGUAAGUUGAUGUUUUGUUUUUUUUUAUUUGUUAUGUUGACUGUUGCCAGUCAUUGUAUUUUUUUUGUAGAAAUUAUAUUUUCUUUUCUACAGUCGUUUUGUACUUUUGUAUAGUUUUGUUUUGUGUGAUAAUGUGAUGUUUUAAGAAUCUGUUUUGUGUCUUUUAUGGUUGGAGUGUAAGAGAGCUGUGUGUGGAGUAACAUCAGUCUGUGCCUGUUUUAAGUCAUUCUCCUACCUCAAUGAAGGUUACAAAAAUAAAUCUUAUAUUUUUGUAUUAUACCCACGUCUCCUGCUCAUUGCUCUUGUUCUGAGGAAUGAACUUGUGUGCCUUACCACCUUUUUGGGUGUAAGGAUUAUUUCCCUGGGUGUAAGUCCCGGGGUGGCGUAGUCGGAGUUUUAUGCAAAAUCUUUGCUUUCGUCACAAAGCUUUCCCCCAACCCCCUCGUCAUGCCACAUUUUGGCGUAGUCGGCAGGAUUGUUUCUUUUCUUGGGUGUAUUGGGUGAAGACAUGGGUAUGUAUAUUUGGAGAAAGGAAAAGAGAAUGUUUGCAUAAUUCUGUGUUUGUUGGAAUUUUUUUUUUUAUUAUUGAGGCAAAACAGCGGCGUAGUUGGUGUGAAUCGGGUCUCCCCUGUCAGUUGGGUUCCCUCUAUGAUUGGUGAGUUGAGUGUAUUUAUUAUGGGGGGGGAACACGGGAAGAAAUUCAGUACUGUUUUAUGGGUAAAAAAAAAAGGGGUACCCGGAUAAUUAUUUUUUAUCGUAUAGCCGUCAAGGCAGAGAACCUUGUGCAUCACUUGUUUCUCACUGUGUAGUCAUCAUUGAAGAGCACUUGUAACCAGUGUUUCUUUUAUUGUAUAGCCGUCAAGGCAGAGAACCUUGUGCAUCACUUGUUUCUCACUGUGUAGUCAUCAUUGAAGAGCACUUGUAACCAGUGUUUCUUUUAUUGUAUAGCCGUCAAGGCAGAGAACCUUGUGCAUCACUUGUUUCUCACUGUGUAGUCAUCAUUGAAGAGCACUUGUAACCAGUGUUUCUUUUAUUGUAUAGCCGUCAAGGCAGAGAACCUUGUGUAUCACUUGUUUCUCACUGUGUAGUCAUCAUUGAAGAGCACUUGUAACCAGUGUUUCUUUUAUUGUAUAGCCGUCAAGGCAGAGAACCUUGUGCAUCACUUGUUUCUCGCUGUGUAGUCAUCAUCGUUCGUUUCUCGUUGUAUAGCCAUCAUUGAAGAGCACUUGUUACCAGUGUUUCUUUUAUUGAAUAGCCGUCAAGGCAGAGAACCUUGUGUAUCACUUGUUUCUCACUGUGUAGUCAUUAUUGAAGAGCACUUGUUACCAGUGUUUCUUUUAUUGUAUAGCCGUCAAGGCAGAGAACCUUGUGUAUCACUUGUUUCUCGCUGGGUGGCUGUUGUGGCCAGAAGACACUGUAAUAAGGGUCUUCCUCAGUGUUUGUUAGGUCCCACAGUAGAGGUGAGUCUCUUGGGGCUGGGAACUAAUCGUCGGGUCGACGAUUCAUAAUGUGGGGGUGGAAUGUAGCAGGGUGACUGAAUUCGUUAGUGAGGAUUUCAUUCACCUGUGCUUAAUUUAAGCCCCCGCCCCUUUCUUGGUUGAUAUAAGGGAUGUGUGUUUGUCAUAUGGCAUGCGUCUUGGUAUCGGCCUUGUGACGUCAUCCGUGGUUGCCGCAGGCUUGGACUGUAAGCUGGCUUCCUCGUCUGCUGUGUGUUGGCUGCCCACGCCACACAGCAUGUCAUUGACAGCAUGGUGUUCAUUACUGAACUGUUGCACUGCAAGAUGAUGCGCGACUGCAAAGCGGUUUGUGCGGCGGGAUCAUUCUGCGGUAUGUACCCUUAUAGAUUCAUGUGUUACUAAUUUAUUUCUGUAUUUAAUAUUAUCUUUCUGCUCAGCUGGACUUCCCUGCAUAACUGAGAGCCUUUGGGCUAUUCGCGAGAGCAUACCAAUGAUGAACUGUGAUCGUGUAUAAUUGCGACUGCGUCGCUGUUUUGCCUCGACGUUUAUCCCCAUGGCAACCGUUGUGACUCUACUAUACGUGGCUACUGGGUAUUGUGUCCACUAUUCCUCUGACUGUGCAACCUGGUUGGGCGUUUCAUCUGGCCCCAGUUUAUUCACUUCCACUGGUCUGAAGCACCUCAUAUGUAUGUUUAUUUGGUUUAAUUUAAUGUUAAUGUCAAUGUGUUUUUGUGGUAUUGGGUCUUAUUUAUGUGAUGUGGUUAGACCCUUGGAUUAUUUGACAUGUGUUAUUAUUUUGGAUUGUAUUUUUGUUUUGUGUGUUUUCAAUUUUUGUCUGGUUACAGGAGCUAGGGGGUUUCUGGAGGAUGCAAGCAACGUCGCCAUUUGUGUGGUGUAUUCACACUUAGUGCUGUGUGUCUUCUGACAUUUUAACCCUUCACGUGUGUGUGUGUGGGUAUUUGUAGUGGAUUAUUUUGGCGAAUAGGUUUCCAAAUUUGGCAGCUGGCCUGGACCUCCAGAUACCUCUGCUCUUGAGAUCUUAAAAUUGAGAAAUGUUUGUGUGUCUUGAGUAGCUUCUUCUUGAUCAUGUGUAAAAUGCCAGUCUAAGUUUUAAAGUGAAAUUUCCAACUAUUUAUAGAAUAUUGACCAAUAAAACUUUCCUACUUUUGCUAUACCUGCCUCAUGUCCUCUCACCCACCCACUCAGAACGAACCUGUGUGCCCUUAGGGCUAUUUCCCUGGGUUUCCAGGGUGGCGUAGUCGAUCAUAUAUUGUCAUCUGGUAACAGUGUGGUAAAUCUUAAUCAAUUCUAGUACCCACUCAGUGCCGUACCGCUACAAU